rnacentral:rRNA from 1 species
GACGAACGCUGGCGGCGUGCUUAACACAUGCAAGUCGAACGGAAAGGCCCUGCUUUUGUGGGGUGCUCGAGUGGCGAACGGGUGAGUAACACGUGAGUAACCUGCCCUUGACUUUGGGAUAACUUCAGGAAACUGGGGCUAAUACCGGAUAGGAGCUCCUGCUGCAUGGUGGGGGUUGGAAAGUUUCGGCGGUUGGGGAUGGACUCGCGGCUUAUCAGCUUGUUGGUGGGGUAGUGGCUUACCAAGGCUUUGACGGGUAGCCGGCCUGAGAGGGUGACCGGCCACAUUGGGACUGAGAUACGGCCCAGACUCCUACGGGAGGCAGCAGUGGGGAAUAUUGCACAAUGGGCGGAAGCCUGAUGCAGCAACGCCGCGUGCGGGAUGACGGCCUUCGGGUUGUAAACCGCUUUCGACUGCGACGAAGCGUGAGUGACGGUAAUGGGUAAAGAAGCACCGGCUAACUACGUG